rnacentral:rRNA from 1 species
GGGCGUAAGAGCAUGUAGGCGGGUAUUUAAGUCAGGAGUGAAAACUAUGGGCUCAACCCAUAGCCUGCUCUUGAAACUGGAUACCUUGAGGGUAUGAGAGGAAAGCGGAAUUCCCAGUGUAGCGGUGAAAUGCGUAGAUAUUGGGAGGAACACCAGUGGCGAAGGCGGCUUUCUGGCAUACAACUGACGCUGAGAUGCGAAAGCGUGGGGAGCGAACGGGAUUAGAUACCCCGGUAGUCCACGCCGUAAACGAUGGGUACUAGGUGUAGGAGGUAUCGACCCCUUCUGUGCCGUAGUUAACACAAUAAGUACCCCGCCUGGGGAGUACGGCCGCAAGGUUGAAACUCAAAGGAAUUGACGGGGGCCCGCACAAGCGGUGGAGCAUGUGGUUUAAUUCGACGCAACGCGAAGAACCUUACCAGGGCUUGACAUCCUCUGACGUCCUAAGAGAUUAGGAGUUUAGGAGCUUGCUCUUAACAGAGAGACAGGUGGUGCAUGGUUGUCGUCAGCUCGUGUCGUGAGAUGUUGGGUUAAGUCCCGCAACGAGCGCAACCCUUAUCUUUAGUUGCCAGCAAUUCGGUUGGGCACUCUAGAGAGACUGCCGGUGACAAACCGGAGGAAGGUGGGGA